rnacentral:rRNA from 1 species
UACGUAGGGUGCAAGCGUUGUCCGGAAUUAUUGGGCGUAAAGAGCUCGUAGGCGGCUUGUCGCGUCGGCUGUGAAAACCUGGGGCUCAACCCCGGGCCUGCAGCCGAUACGGGCAAGCUAGAAUUCGGUAGGGGAGACUGGAAUUCCUGGUGUAGCGGUGAAAUGCGCAGAUAUCAGGAGGAACACCGGUGGCGAAGGCGGGUCUCUGGGCCGAUAUUGACGCUGAGGAGCGAAAGCGUGGUGAGCGAACAGG